CCCUUUCCCCUAACCCCUUUAAUUAUUCCGUAAAUCUGGAGUUCUCGGUUGAUGCUCGAUUCAACAUCUUGGGUGUUCUUAGUCACUAGGAUGAGCUUAAUAUUUUGCAAUUAGUCAUUGGCUUUGAUGCAAAAGAUCACUAAUUAUGAAGCUUAGGGCAGCAACUAAAUUGAUGAGGCCUUGAUGUCUUAACUUGCACAUGAGACCUACUGUGCUGAUAUUGCUAAGUUCGCAUUUUGAUUCUUGAGCAUCUAUGGUUCUAAGUUCUUGACUAUCUAUUGGGGUUGGUUUAUAUGAUGUAAAGCAUGAUGUUGGGUGUUGAGGCAAUUACCUAUUGAAGCUGCGGCUGCUUUGAGAAUUCAGCUCUUAAAACCUCAUCUUUCUUCCACUCAAACUUGCUGUGUUGCUGGAAAAAUUUGAAGGUGUGUAGGAGAGUGUUCAAGGGUGGUGUGGAGGGGAAUUUAUAGCAGAAUGUGUACUCGUGAGAAUUUAAUGGAGCUGUUGUAUUACUUGUUCUCUUCUUGCAGCAAAUCCUUCUUUUUAAGAUCUUCACUAAGCUUUUAAUUAAUACAUUCGUCUCUUUCUUGAAGCACAAGUACUCCCUUCAUAAUAUCACUUGUUUGGACAUGUAGGGGUGCAGGUGGUUGCUUGAUUCAGGCAGAUUUGGUGCAGCUGCCAUUUUGGGAUCAUUUUGACUUCCUUUGAUAAAGUUGUACCCAUAGGAGAAAGAGUUAUUGGGCUGACCUUCGGGCCGACGGGCCAAACUCUCGGGCUGCGCAAGGUGUGGCUCGGGCUUAAGAAGAGAGGCCCAACAUUUGCAUAUUUGUAUUCUUUAAAUUCUUUCUCAUCAACACGUGUGUAAAUUAUUUUGUAACUAGAAAGUAGCUUGAUGUGUAUUCGAACAUUCUGGAUCAGCAAAGUAACCUCGUAUUCUUUCUUGA